CCUACGGGUGGCAGCAGUGAGGAAUAUUGGUCAAUGGGCGAGAGCCUGAACCAGCCAAGUCGCGUGAAGGAUGAAGGAUCUAUGGUUUGUAAACUCCUUCUACAUGGGAAUAAAGUGAGGUACGUGUUCCAUUUUGUAUGUAUCAUAUCAAUAAGCAUCGGCUAACUCCGUGCCAGCAGCCGCGGUAAUACGGAGGAUGCGAGCGUUAUCCGGAUUUAUUGGGUUUAAAGGGUGCGUAGGUGGUUAAUUAAGUCAGCGGUGAAAGUUUGUGGCUCAACCAUAAAAUUGCCGUUGAAACUGGUUGGCUUGAGUGUAUGAGAGGUAGGCGGAAUGCGUGGUGUAGCGGUGAAAUGCAUAGAUAUCACGCAGAACUCCGAUUGCGAAGGCAGCUUACUAAACUAUAACUGACGCUGAAGCACGAAAGCGUGGGGAUCAAACAGGAUUAGAUACCCCAGUAGUC
rnacentral:rRNA from 1 species